UUGAACGGUUGAGUGGAAUGCGUAUAUCGACUCCAUGAAGAGCUCAUGGAUUCCAAAGUGCUUAAAUUAUGAAUGAGCAAUGAUGUAUGAUAAAAAGUAAAGGCAGUCAUAACAAUGCUCAUUCCAACAGCAAAAGCAAACAGAAAGCCCCAGAACACUAAAUAAAUAGCACUAAUAUUCGCUCCUUCGGCUGUGAAAGUUUUGGUGAUGGCAACAAAAGUUGAAUAAAGAACGCAGAUGGAGUAGAGAUUUAAGUAGAAGCACUCCAGGAAGAAAAACUUGUGGUUACGGAAUCCAACACAAUUUUUAAACCACAUGCAAUGAUGGUCCAUUCGAAGAAUGCACUUAUUACAUUGCGAGCAAUGAUGAGAUCGAUCGCAUUUGUAUUCUUGACAUUUUUCGCAAAAUCGAGAUUUUCCAUUCUGUAAUGUCAUAUAUUGCCUAGUAGAAUUCGGAUCAAACGAGGUCUCCUGAAACAGAAGAGUUAGUUUCCUGUUUUAAUAAUACUCACAUAAUAUUUAUACUAAAGGAAAUUGACGUACCGAUGGAGAGCCUGGUGGUGUAAGAUUAGUAAGGACAUAACAUGUUACGAUCAUAAUGUACAA